rnacentral:rRNA from 1 species
CAACGUGUAUUGCCCAGUAACGGCGAGUGAAGCGGCAACAGCUCAAAUUUGAAAUCUGGCUUCGGCCCGAGUUGUAAUUUGCAGAGGAAGCUUUAGGCGCGGCACCAUCUGAGUCCCCUGGAACGGGGCGCCACAGAGGGUGAGAGCCCCGUAUAGAUGGACGCCUAGCCUGUGUAAAGCUCCUUCGACGAGUCGAGUAGUUUGGGAAUGCUGCUCUAAAUGGGAGGUAAAUUUCUUCUAAAGCUAAAUACCGGCCAGAGACCGAUAGCGCACAAGUAGAGUGAUCGAAAGAUGAAAAGCACUUUGAAAAGAGGGUUAAAUAGCACGUGAAAUUGUUGAAAGGGAAGCGCUUGUGACCAGACUUGCGCCGGGCGGAUCAUCCGGUGUUCUCACCGGUGCACUCCGCCCGGCUCAGGCCAGCAUCGGUUCUCGUGGGGGGACAAAGGUCCCGGGAACGUAGCUCCUCCGGGAGUGUUAUAGCCCGGGGCGUAAUGCCCUCGCGGGGACCGAGGACCGCGCUUCGGCAAGGAUGCUGG